GACGAACGCUGGCGGCGUGCUUAACACAUGCAAGUCGAACGGAAAGGCCCCUUUGGGGGUACUCGAGUGGCGAACGGGUGAGUAACACGUGAGUAACCUGCCCUUGACUUCGGGAUAACUUCAGGAAACUGGGGCUAAUACCGGAUAGGAAUCCUUGCUGCAUGGUGGGGGUUGGAAAGCUUCGGCGGUUUUGGAUGGACUCGCGGCUUAUCAGCUUGUUGGUGGGGUAGUGGCUUACCAAGGCUUUGACGGGUAGCCGGCCUGAGAGGGCGACCGGCCACAUUGGGACUGAGAUACGGCCCAGACUCCUACGGGAGGCAGCAGUGGGGAAUAUUGCACAAUGGGCGGAAGCCUGAUGCAGCAACGCCGCGUGCGGGAUGACGGCCUUCGGGUUGUAAACCGCGUUCAGCAGAGGCGAAGCUUGUGGUGACGGUACCUGCAGAAGAAGCACCGGCUAACUACGUG
rnacentral:rRNA from 1 species